rnacentral:lncRNA from 1 species
AUCAACCGUUGAUCUCUGAGAUCAUUUGUCCACCUUGGUUCCUUACCUUUUUUAACCCAACGACCCCCUAAAACUUUACCAUGUUUUUCAUUUAAGAUGCUUUUGAAUCCCUUCUACUCCAAUUCACUCUGAGACCUAAACUUAAUCCUAUCUACUACCACCUAAAACCAACCUAAUCUCUUUCAUCCUCACUCAAUUCAUGGGUUCCACGAUUUGUUUGAGAUAUAUACGCAUCUCCUAUGUCUCUCGGUUGCUCGUUUUUGUGAUUUCAUUGAAGGAUCUCGAAGAUAUCUAGUCCAGACCUUGUUCAAAACUCUCCGAGAGUUUAUCCAUGGUCUUUCAUGCCAUUUUCCGGCCAUCUAUGGCUAUUCGAGUAGGAUUCAUGACUUUUCUGGCUAAAACCGGUAAUGUUCUAAAGUUUUCUCAUCUUCUCAAGGUUUUCUGAAACACUAGCUCUUGAGAUUUUUCACUUUUCUUAAGAUCUGUCUUAGAUCUAGGUGUAUCCAUGAGUUUUUAACCUAUUUUUCUUCAUCUUUACUAUUUUUCGAAACCCUAAAGUUACUGUGUUCGAUUCUUCUCAGGAUCUUUCUAGAUCUGAGAUGAUUCAAGUAUUAUCAAGUUUUUUCCUAUAAAAUAUCCUGUUUUUAAC